rnacentral:rRNA from 1 species
AUUGAACGCUGGCGGCAUGCUUUACACAUGCAAGUCGAACGGCAGCGGGGUAGUGCUUGCACUACUGCCGGCGAGUGGCGAACGGGUGAGUAAUAUAUCGGAACGUACCGAGUAAUGGGGGAUAACCAAUCGAAAGAUUGGCUAAUACCGCAUACGUCCUAAGGGAGAAAGCGGGGGAUCGCAAGACCUCGCGUUAUUCGAGCGGCCGAUAACUGAUUAGCUAGUUGGUGGGGUAAAGGCCUACCAAGGCGACGAUCAGUAGCGGGUCUGAGAGGACGAUCCGCCACACUGGGACUGAGGCACGGCCCAGACUCCUACGGGAGGCAGCAGUGGGGAAUUUUGGACAAUGGGGGCAACCCUGAUCCAGCCAUGCCGCGUGUAUGAAGAAGGCCUUCGGGUUGUAAAGUACUUUUGUUAGGGAAGAAAAGGGAAGUGCUAAUACCACUUUUUGCUGACGGUACCUAAAGAAUAAGCACCGGCUAACUACGUGCCAGCAGCCGCGGUAAUACGUAGGGUGCGAGCGUUAAUCGGAAUUACUGGGCGUAAAGCGAGCGCAGACGGUUACUUAAGCAGGAUGUGAAAUCCCCGGGCUUAACCUGGGAACUGCGUUCUGAACUGGGUAGCUAGAGUAUGUCAGAGGGGGGUAGAAUUCCACGUGUAGCAGUGAAAUGCGUAGAGAUGUGGAGGAAUACCGAUGGCGAAGGCAGCCCCCUGGGAUGAUACUGACGUUCAUGCUCGAAAGCGUGGGUAGCAAACAGG